GACGAACGCUGGCGGCGCGCUUAACACAUGCAAGUCGAGCGAGAACCGGGCCUUCGGGCCCGGGGAAAGCGGCGAACGGGUGAGUAACACGUGGGUAACCUGCCCUCGGCACCGGGAUAGCUCGGGGAAACCCGGAUUAAUACCGGACGGCCUCCGGAGCCUUCGGGCGCCGGAGAAAAGGUGGCUUCGGCUUCCGGCUGAGGAUGGGCCUGCGGCGGAUUAGCUUGUUGGCGGGGUAACGGCCCACCAAGGCGACGAUCCGUAGCUGGUCUGAGAGGACGAUCAGCCACACUGGGACUGAGACACGGCCCAGACUCCUACAGGAGGCAGCAGUGGGGAAUCUUGCACAAUGGGCGAAAGCCUGAUGCAGCGACGCCGCGUGCGGGAAGAAGGCCUUCGGGUUGUAAACCGCUUUCAGGAGGGACGAAGCCGCUCGGGUUAAUAGCCCAGAGGGUGACGGUACCUCCAGAAGAAGCCCCGGCUAACUACGUGCCAGCCGCCGCCGUAAUAC
rnacentral:rRNA from 1 species